AAGAGCCAAACAAAAGAAGUAGAAUAAAAAAUAAAGUAUAAAAGAUAUAACAAAGCGUCCAAUGAGACCGUGAGACCGGCAAAAUAAGCAAAAGUGAAAGUGUAAAAAACAAGUGUGUGCAUGUGUGUAUAAAUUUCUGUUUGUACGUAUAUGUUCGUGUAAUUGUAUCUUUCUAUCAAAGCAAGUGACCGUAAUACAAUUGGCAAAUAACAAAUAAAGUUUGCGCUAACUUUCCAUUUCAUUUCGCUUGCCGUGUGUGUGGUCGGAAAAGUAGAAAGCCGCAAACGAAUUAGGGCAAAAGUAAAAUAAUUAUGUUGUAAAUACAUAUGUGUAUGUGUAAUUGUAAAUAUAUAUGUGUGCUUAAGUAAAUGUCUAGAUAUUCAUACAUAUCAAAUGGAAUGAAAUCGUGAAUUUUUCAUUUUUUUUCGUUCUCUCUUUGGCGCAGACACUGACAAUUUGUGCAUGGAUAGGCGAUUACAAAAACAAUAGUUUUUCAAAUAAACCGCCAAUCAGCUUUAUGUGUAACGGGUUUAGUUGCUGCAUUGUUUAUUGGUGGUUUAAGCUAGCGUUGUUUGUGUGUACACACGAUUUCCUUCUAAACUUUGGACGUUUUUAUAUUGGUGGAGUCUACAACAACAAAUUGUGUUAUUGUUUUCCAUUUUACUAAAUUAAGCGCAGAUAAAAUUAAUUAUGCCAACGGAUACAUAAAUAAAUAAUUGCUGACAACAACGCGAUUGCUUUACGCUUUCGUUCUGUGCAAUGCGCAGCAGCACUUGGAUAUGCAAAGAUACGCUAACGUGAUAUCGCUUGAAUUCUAAACUUACAUCGCACAAAAAAUACAUCAAAAGUCAACAAUACUCUUGGAGUUGUAGCAUAAAAGCAAACAAAGAAUGCUUCAGCCAUUGACAUGGCGUAUACGUAACCUUCAAAAAAUUGGCAUUGUGCUGUGGAAGUAUUCAUAAUAACCUGAAGGGGAAAGUAAACAAAUCUAUAUCAAAAAUCGUGAAAGCAACUUAUAGAGCAGAAUAAUCAAAGUAAAAAAAAAAAAAUAAUACAAAAACGAAUUAAAGUAAGUCAAAAAAUAAAGCGAAUAAAGCCAAAUUUUUACCACAUCCCCUUGCUUGCGUAUGCACAACAUUUAUGACUCAUGCAAAAGCCACCUGCGACUCAUCAGUUACAACAGCUGCAGUAACACUAUUAAUGUAGACCACAACAACAACAUACAUACCUUCAAAUAAAAGAACAACCACGAAAGCCUUAAAAGCGGCUGGAAAAGGUGUGUAGCAUACAACAGCUAAAGCGCUUCGUGCCACUUUGUUGCGCGUCUUUAUUGCAUAACACAAAUUCACCCACACACACACACA